AAAAAAAAACUACAUCCAGUCCACUGCUCUCCCCCGCGUCGAUCCCAUCCUCCUCUCCCCCGCAUCGCCGCUGGCCUCACCCCAACAGGCGCCACAAACGGCGACUUCGCCUCUCACCGCCACCCCCUCUCAUCCCCUCCCGUCGUGGAAGAUCGAGCGACAACCGCGGCGUGGGCGGGCGGCGCCAACACGCUGCUCUCGGCCGCGGAGCUGCUCCCGCCGGGCCACCCGGACCCGUCCGUCGCCUGCUCGCCUCCCGCGGCGUCUUCUCCGAGCACACAGCCGACGGAGGACGGAGGCCGGAGGGGGUACGCGCUUGUGCUGGCGUGGCCCCGGUUCCACAAGGCCAUGCUCGACCCCGCUGGCGCCGAGCCCUUCGCAUGCGCCCACUCCGGCGUCCCCGCCUACGCCUACUACGGACAUGACCGGGAGGCGAACGAGGUGAUGCACGACGACGAACAUCUACUCAAGGACAUCCUGCUCGGGGAUGCUCCUCUUCGUCAGCAUCUCCAGCGCGUGGUCCAGAAGGGCAUGUUCCUUGACAGUGCUGCCAUGGACGUCUUGUUGGAUCGGCAGGGAAGAGGUUGGAAUCUGUUGCUUGUGUGUGUGUGUAUGCAGUCACCUGGAAUAUGUUUCUUGUGUGCACGAGGUUAUAAAAAUGAAGAAAUUGUGCAUAAUCCCUUCAAGCUAUCAUGUUUCCUAAAAACUUGA
rnacentral:rRNA from 1 species